AAAAAUUCAUUGACGAGAACGAGUACGUUAUAGAACUGUUCCCCAGAGAGUUGGCGAUUUGCUUGAAAGCCAACGUUCAGUGCGUUAACCGAAAAUCAUCUCCGAGAAGUAGAACCGAAUGUUACAGUAAGUUCUUACCGGCCGUCCCCCGUUACAAGGAACACGUAUCAUGUUGUACGUUGCAAAGCCGUAUACAUAUAGAUUUAUUUCUACAUGUGUAAAUUAGGGUGGUAUCGCGGGUAAAUAUAACUCGUCCCUUUC
rnacentral:ncRNA from 1 species